GUAAGGAAUAUUGGUCAAUGGGCGCAAGCCUGAACCAGCCAUGCCGCGUGCAGGAAGACGGCCCUAUGGGUUGUAAACUGCUUUUAUCAGGGAAUAAACCCCCGCUCGUGAGCGGGGCUGAAGGUACCUGAAGAAUAAGCAUCGGCUAACUCCGUGCCAGCAGCCGCGGUAAUACGGAGGAUGCAAGCGUUAUCCGGAUUCAUUGGGUUUAAAGGGUGCGCAGGCGGAUUGGUAAGUCAGGGGUGAAAUCCCACAGCUCAACUGUGGAACUGCCUUUGAUACUGUCAGUCUAGAGUAUAGUUGAAGUGGGCGGAAUGUGUCAUGUAGCGGUGAAAUGCUUAGAUAUGACACAGAACACCGAUCGCGAAGGCAGCUCGCUAAGCUAUAACUGACGCUCAUGCACGAAAGCGUGGGGA
rnacentral:rRNA from 1 species